CUGGGGCAGGGGAGUCAGCAGAGGCCUCGCUCGGGCGCCCAGUGGUCCUGCCGCCUGGUCUCACCUCGCUAUGGUUCGUCUGCCUCUGCAGUGCGUCCUCUGGGGCUGCUUGCUGACCGCUGUCCAUCCAGAACCACCCACUGCAUGCAGAGAAAAACAGUACCUAAUAAACAGUCAGUGCUGUUCUUUGUGCCAGCCAGGACAGAAACUGGUGAGUGACUGCACAGAGUUCACUGAAACGGAAUGCCUUCCUUGCGGUGAAAGCGAAUUCCUAGACACCUGGAACAGAGAGACACACUGCCACCAGCACAAAUACUGCGACCCCAACCUAGGGCUUCGGGUCCAGCAGAAGGGCACCUCAGAAACAGACACCAUCUGCACCUGUGAAGAAGGCUGGCACUGUACGAGUGAGGCCUGUGAGAGCUGUGUCCUGCACCGCUCAUGCUCGCCCGGCUUUGGGGUCAAGCAGAUUGAUGGUGACAUAGGUUUCCUUUUAAGAAUAAAGCAAAAAAAAAUUCUGAUAAGAGACUUGAAUAUAUAAGGA
rnacentral:lncRNA from 1 species